CAGCAGCUCACUCCUGUGAUCCCAGCACUUUGGGAAGCCAUGGUGGGUGGAUCACUUGGGCCCAGGAAUCCAAGACCAGCCCGGGUAACAUGGGAAAAUCCUGUUGCUACAAAAAAAAUACAAAAGUUAGCUGGGCAUGAUGGCACAUGCCUGUGGUCCCAGCUACUCAGGAGGCCGAGAGGGGAGGAUCAUCUGAGCCCAGAAGGCAGAGGUUGCAGUGAGCUGAGAUCACGCCACUGCACCCCAGCCUGGGAGACAGAACAAGACCCUGUCUCAAUGUAAAAAGAAAAAAAAACCCAAACUAUUUUACCAAUAAGAAGUCCAGAGCAGUAAGGAGGUUGCAGGAUUGUUUCCCAGACUCAGCAAUGUCACUGAGGAGGUCGGUGUUUUUCCUGUCUUGUCUCUGCCAUCUUUUGUAUUAAUGACAAAAACCUACUGCAGCUGCAACCAUCACAUUUUUCCCCAGGAAUAUCGAAAGGCCGUAAGGAAGGGCAGUUUCUCCUCAUGCAUUUUUUAUAUCAGGGAUAAAAGGGUUUUUUUCCUCCCAGGAUUUCUCUUGAGCUCACUGGCCACAGUUUCACCACCUGGAAAAAGAAAUGGAAUUACCAUGAUUGGUUAGGUGAAGGUGUCUAAAACAUGGUACUAUUGACAUUUUGGACAAGGUUAUUCUUUAUUGUGGGGAGUGCCUUAUGCAUUAUAUGAAGCAUCCCUGGCCUCUAUCCACUAGAUGCCAGUGGCAACCCUUUUGAUAAUAAAAAGUGAUAAUAAAAAAGUCUCCGAUAUUGUCUAGUAUCCCUGAUAGGGCAGAAUGGCCCCAGUUGAAAACCACUAAUUUAUACUAAUCAGCACUUAAUCCUCCCUGGAGAUGGGGAAGGAUAACCUUCCCAAAACACAUAGCAAAAUUAAUACCUGACAUCAUUAGGGUCCUGCCAGCAAGGAAUAAAGCAGAGGGCUUGAGAGGAACACAGAGGGUGACACUUGGCUCUGUCUGAUGCAAGUGACGAAUUGGUAAAACAACUAGAGGUACCCAUUCUGGAAGCAAUACGAUUUCAGAUAAGAGAACUGAUAGCUAAUUCCAAAUGUUGGUGGCACCAGCCUACAGAAGGAAAGGAGAACAGAAUGAACACUUACUGAGGAUCUCCAGUUACCCAUCCUUUGCUGGAUUCUUCAUAUGAAUUUUGCUUUUAAUUCUGAGAGCACUACAGUGAAAGACUAAGGCUUGCGUCAUUUGACUCCUGGAGGGUUAUGACCAGGGAGCGGGCAGAUACUACAUUCACUUUUUCUUGUUCCACAGACCCCUUUGGUAGCCUGGAGAAGUCUGCUGGAUCCCAUAUUAGAAUAAUGUUUUAACUGCAUAAAACAGAAUAUCAGUAUAGUGAAAGGAUACAGGUUGAAGCCUUAACCCUCAGUGGGUCUCUGCAAGAGGUGGAGAGGAUUCAACCCUGUUCUGCUGACUGCAAAACUCUUACCUAUUAUUUUACUGCUGUUGACAUUUACUUAUAUUUCCUUUCCAUAUUUUUCUAAGCAUAUAUAUGACAUGUAAUAUAACAUUAAACUUGUAAUAUAUAUUUAUGUCCUGCCAUUUAAAAAUAACAUUGCAUCAUAAAUAAUUUCAAAGGCUCUUUUUUAGUUUUAUAAUAUAUAUGAGAC
rnacentral:lncRNA from 1 species